GGCUCAUUAAAUCAGUUAUCGUUUAUUUGAUAGUACCUACCAACUACAUGGAUAACCGUGGUAAUUCUAGAGCUAAUACAUGCUAAAAACCCCAACUUCGGGAGGGGUGUAUUUAUUAGAUAAAAAACCAAUGCCCCUCGGGGCUUCUUGGUGAUUCAUGAUAACUUAACGGAUCGCAUGGCCUUGCGCCGGCGACGGUUCAUUCAAAUUUCUGCCCUAUCAACUUUCGAUGGUAAGGUAUUGGCUUACCAUGGUUUCAACGGGUAACGGGGAAUUAGGGUUCGAUUCCGGAGAGGGAGCCUGAGAAACGGCUACCACAUCCAAGGAAGGCAGCAGGCGCGCAAAUUACCCAAUCCCGACACGGGGAGGUAGUGACAAUAAAUACUGAUACAGGGCUCUUUUGGGUCUUGUAAUCGGAAUGAGUACAAUUUAAACCCCUUAACGAGGAACAAUUGGAGGGCAAGUCUGGUGCCAGCAGCCGCGGUAAUUCCAGCUCCAAUAGCGUAUAUUAAAGUUGUUGCAGUUAAAAAGCUCGUAGUUGAACCUUGGGCCUGGCUGGCCGGUCCGCCUCACCGCGUGUACUGGUCCGGCCGGGCCUUUCCUUCUGGAGAACCGCAUGCCCUUCACUGGGUGUGUCGGGGAACCAGGACUUUUACUUUGAAAAAAUUAGAGUGUUCAAAGCAGGCCUUUGCUCGAAUACGUUAGCAUGGAAUAAUAGAAUAGGACGUGCGGUCCUAUUUUGUUGGUUUCUAGGACCGCCGUAAUGAUUAAUAGGGAUAGUCGGGGGCAUCAGUAUUCAAUUGUCAGAGGUGAAAUUCUUGGAUUUAUUGAAGACUAACUACUGCGAAAGCAUUUGCCAAGGAUGUUUUCAUUAAUCAGUGAACGAAAGUUAGGGGAUCGAAGACGAUCAGAUACCGUCGUAGUCUUAACCGUAAA
rnacentral:rRNA from 1 species